GCCUACGGGAGGCAGCAGGGGGAAUAUUGCACAAUGGGCGAAAGCCUGAUGCAGCUAUGCCGCGUGUAUGAAGAAGGCCUUAGGGUUGUAAAGUACUUUCAGCAGGGAGGAAAGAAGUAAAACUAAUAAUUUUAUUUUGUGACGUUACCUGCAGAAGAAGCACCGGCUAACUCCGUGCCAGCAGCCGCGGUAAU
rnacentral:rRNA from 1 species